GUUGGUGUAGUGUAUGGUACACAGCUGCCUUCUGUGGUUGAGGCGAAUGUGAAAUUUGCAGGCAGCAGACCAGGUUCAAUUCCUGGCACCCACA